GACAGAGGGGGCAAACGUUGUUCGGAAUUACUGGGCGUAAAGCGCGUGUAGGCGGCUCGUAAAGUCGGAUGUGAAAGCCCUGGGCUUAACCUAGGAAGUGCAUUCGAAACUGUCGUGGCUUGAGUUCUGGAGAGGAAGGUGGAAUUCUCGGUGUAGAGGUGAAAUUCGUAGAUAUCGAGAGGAACACCGGUGGCGAAGGCGGCCCGCUGGACAGUGACUGACGCUGAGGCGCGAAAGCGUGGGGAGCAAACAGG
rnacentral:rRNA from 1 species